rnacentral:rRNA from 1 species
CCUACGGGCGGCAGCAGUGAGGAAUAUUGGUCAAUGGGCGCGAGCCUGAACCAGCCAAGUAGCGUGAAGGAAGACUGCCCUACGGAUUGUAAACUUCUUUUAUCAAGGAGUAAAGUGAGGCACGUGUGCCGUUUUGUAUGUACUUUAUGAAUAAGGAUCGGCUAACUCCGUGCCAGCAGCCGCGGUAAUACGGAGGAUCCGAGCGUUAUCCGGAUUUAUUGGGUUUAAAGGGAGCGUAGAUGGGUUGUUAAGUCAGUUGUGAAAUUUUGGGGGUAAACCUUAAAAGUGCAGUUGAUACUGGCUGUCUUGAGUGAAGGUGAAGUAGGCGGAAUGCGUGGUGUAGCGGUGAAAUGCUUAGAUAUCACGCAGAACCCCGAUUGCGAAGGCAGCAUACU